rnacentral:misc_RNA from 1 species
AGAGAGAGAGAGAGAGAGAAGCGGGCUGUUUUCCGGCCAAUUCAGGCCACCAACGCUGGCGAUCCAAGGUGCCACCAACCCCCCACGAACCCAGCUCCAUUUUCCGACCAGCCAUGCCCGGAGUGGUGGAGUUUCCGGCAAGUUUCGAAGAGAGAGAAAGUGACGGCAGUGGCUUUCCGACCACUUUUUCGGCGAUCCGACCGUCGGAUCGGA